rfam:Bursaphelenchus xylophilus, Ka4C1 (inbred line), WGS project CADV01000000 data, contig: scaffold01653.7
CUCGGAUAUGGUGAUGUAACUCCUCAGACGAUAACUGGCAAGAUUGUUGGCGGAAUCUGCUCUCUCAGUGGAGUGUUGGUAAUUGCCCUGCCAGUUCCAGUUAUCGUCAGCAAC